rnacentral:tRNA from 1 species
GAGGGUGGAGCUCAGUAGUAGAGCACUUGGCUGAUGUGCAAGAAGUUCUGGGUUGGAUCCCUUGCACUGUGA